CAUCGGACAAGCAGCUGGGGUCUGUGUUGUCCCAGUCCAUAUUCUCUGAUACAAUCUGAUGAAAAGGGAUGCCACUCUUUGUUCGGACCAUACCCAGUGACUCCACUGCAUGAAGGAUCUGGCACUUCAGCCAUUUAAAUUCGAGGGGGUCCACAGUUUAAGGGUGCAGAUGGCUGUGGCAGAUUUCCUAGUACAAAAUAAUUGAAAAAAGUUAGAUGAGAGUGGAAUAAUGAGGGUGGCUGUUACAAUAUUAACUGCUGUUUCCCCAAAUAUCCAUAUAUACACUUAAUAUACACUUCUGGUUGUAUAGACAUUUAAACAAGCAGACGCCACCACUCUAAUACAAAGUAUUAUUUGUGUGUACCGAGCCUUGGAUUUAUCUUUUUUGCCUUUUGUUCUUGACCUGUUUCAGUCUGUGGAUUUAUGUUAUUUUUGGAUUUGCCCUCCUGGAUUGUUUGCUUUGCUGACUGCUUUUGUUUUUCCCCUGCCUGCCAUUUUUGCUCUGUUACCUGGUUUAUUAAAUAUCCUUUCUCUGCACAUGCAUCCCAUUAAUCCUUUAUUACAGGAUACUUCGCCUGCGAUGGGUCCAGCAGACGUACCUCAGCUGUUAGCGCAACACGGACAAGCUGUUGAGGCUUACCACGAGCAGGACGCGGCCCUCCAGACCACCAACAAACAGCCCCUACAAGUCCUCGCUAAUACUACAGGUUCGCAUAGUGAAUCCAUGCACAUAGCACUACCGACAAGAUUGAUGGCUCUGCCGACAGGUGUAAGGGAUUCAUAAGACAAUGUGAAGUCUAUUUUGUGUACCAGCCAGACACUUACAGUGAGGACUCCACCAAGUGCACUUUUCUCCUUACUUUAAUUACUGGAUGAGAGCUGGAGUGGGCUAUGGUGGUAUGGGACAGUGACCCUCAGACUGGCAGCACAAAGUGGCUGUAACAUCUCAGUUGAAGAACGCCAAUGCCGCCUGCAGUUGUGCUACUACUGCGGUGAAUCCGGUCAUCAUUGUGCCAUCUGCUCCGAGAAGACCACCAUGCGACGUGCUCAGCCUGACAGACAACUGACAGAACAGCUGAAUGAUGAAGUCUGUUCUGGCCCAUUCUUCGCCUAAGCCAUAUAUUGCUCCAACAUCACCUCUGUGCCAAGAAAUGCAAAUUUCAUCAAUCCUCCAUCACCUUCCUGGGGUACGUUAUCAGCAACAAAGGAGUGAAGAUGGACUCCAGCAAGGUCAGCGCUGUCACAGAAUGGCCAGAACCCUCAAGUAUUAAGGAAACACAGCGGUUCCUGGGGUUCGCCAACUUUUACUGGCAGUUUAUUAGGAAUUACAGUUCUGUAGCAGACCUGCUCAAUGCUCUGCUUGAGGGAAAACCUAAAAAAUUACAAUGGUCUGAGACAGCUGCCCAAGCCUUCAAAGAACUGAAGUGUCACUUUACCACAGCCCCUAUCCUACAUUACCCUGACCCAGAAUGCCCAUUGUGGUGGAAGUAGAUGCCUCCUGUUGCAGCAUAGAGGCUGUACUCUCCUAAUGCCAUGGAGAGUCCAAUAAACUUUUCCCCUCUGCCUUCUUCUCAUGAAUGUUGAGUUUAGAGAACCACAUAACUACUCCGCAAUACAUUUCGGUCACCUUCCCUGGCUACCGAUGGGUGCCACCUGCACCCAAGUCCGUACCCCUCGGUGGCUUCCUGCAGGUCUCUCGGUACCCCAAUGCCCCUGGACUCAUGUGGCAGAAGACUUCGUCACUGAUCUCCCCUCCUACCAUAGGUUUAUGGCCAUCCUGGUGGCAGUGGAUUGCUUUUCCAAGGGUUACUCAUCCCAUUGAAAAAAUUCCCCACAGCCAUGGAGACUGCCACAGCCUAGUUCGAACAUGUAUUCUGAAGCUAUACAUUCCAUAGUAUAUGGUCUCUGAUCAAGGAGUUCAAUUCACCUCCCACGUAUGCAGAGUUUUCUGUCACCACUUGGGCAUUAAUGUCAGCGUCACCUCCAGCUACCACCCCCAGUCGAAUGGCCAGGUAGAGAGGUUAAACCAGGAGUUGGCACAUUACUUACGAACCUAUUGUAGCAGAGAAGAGUUCCAUUCCUGGGCUGAGUAUGUGCAAAACUUGUACCCAUUACUAUUCUCUCCUCACACCUUUUCCAUGUAUUCUAGGCUACCAACCCCCCUUGUUCCCAUUGUUAGGAGAGCUCUCUGAGGUACCGGCGGUGGAUGAUUGGGUUCACCAAAGAGGUAUGGGAUAGCACUCAUAUAUGCCUCCAACGAGCUGUCUUUCGCCAGCACCUCCAGGCUAACCAAAGGAGACACCCACAUCCACCAUAUCAACCAGGACAAAUGCUUUGGCUUUCAAACAAGCAUCUAUGUCUGAAACUCCCAUGUCGUAAGUUGAGACCCCGCUACAUUGGCCUCUUCAAGGUCCUCCAACAAAUCAACAGGUUACUUACCACCUUAAACUCCCACCCAGUUAUUGCAUCUCACCCUCAUACCACACCUUUCUCUUCUGUAACAACAUUAACCACUGUUUCCAAUAUUCAGCAGAGGGACCCCUCACCCAAGUUUUGACACUUCUGGGUUCUACACUUCCAGCUGUAUAGACAUUUAAACACACAGAUGCCAUCCCUCUAAUGUGAAGUAUCAUUUGUGUGUUAUCACCAUGUACUGAGCCUUGGAUUUAUUUUUGCUCUAUUACCUGGUUUAUUAAAUAUCCUGUCUCUGCACAUGCAUCCUAUUAAUCCUUCAUU